CUCAAACACAUGGUCAUGGAGCUGGUUGAGACUGGUUGAAAGUCAAGCCUUGUCCUCAGAGGGUGAAAGUGAUCUAGGGAAGCUGUUAAACAUGGGCAUGCUCUGAGGAGCAGGGUAAUCUCCCAAGCGUCUUGGUUUCCUUGGCUCAGGGCCCACAGUUAUUUAUGUUGUGCCAUGAUUUCCCCUUGAAAGUUUAAAAAGGAUGGUGGAUGCUGUUUCUGCCAAUGUCUUGAUUUUUUUUUUUAACAGUGAAGAAAACGCGGAUCUGAAUUCCCUCCACUUGGCUUCUCCUCUCUUGGCAUCCACUGAGAAGAGCAACAAGAGUCAAAGUUCUGGGAAGUUCUCUGAUGAAGAUUCCCCUCUGGACAUCAAUGACCUGGCAGUGACUAAACCAACAAAGAGAUACUGCAUGAACACAGACACCAGUUCCCUGUUCUGGAAGCUGGAGCGCUCGUUGGCCCAGUCCCGACAGAUGCUGACUGAUCUGGAGCUCAGCCUUCUCCACACAAGCAUUCCCAACACCAGCAACAAGAAUAAGAGGAAGAAGUUGGUUCCAACACAGAGGUAAUUCUGAGGACUGAAGAUCAUUCACCCAGUAGCUACAAUGGAAAGUUACCUCAUUUUUUUUUCCCGUGCUCCUCCUGAGUGUUUGAAAGACUCACAAGUGGCAAGAAGAUCUGACUCUGCAGGAAUGUAUUUUAUCUUGAAAUAAAACACAGAAUAACGCCA
rnacentral:lncRNA from 1 species